rnacentral:rRNA from 1 species
GAUGAACGCUGGAGGCGUGCCUAACACAUGCAAGUCGAGCGAUCUCUUCGGAGAGAGCGGCGGACGGGUGAGUAACGCGUGGGUAACCUGCCCUGUACACACGGAUAACAUACCGAAAGGUAUACUAAUACGGGAUAAUAUAUGAAAGUCGCAUGGCUUUUGUAUCAAAGCUCCGGCGGUACAGGAUGGACCCGCGUCUGAUUAGCUAGUUGGUAAGGUAAUGGCUUACCAAGGCAACGAUCAGUAGCCGACCUGAGAGGGUGAUCGGCCACACUGGAACUGAGACACGGUCCAGACUCCUACGGGAGGCAGCAGUGGGGAAUAUUGCACAAUGGGCGAAAGCCUGAUGCAGCAACGCCGCGUGAGCGAUGAAGGCCUUCGGGUCGUAAAGCUCUGUCCUCAAGGAAGAUAAUGACGGUACUUGAGGAGGAAGCCCCGGCUAACUACGUGCCAGCAGCCGCGGUAAUACGUAGGGGGCUAGCGUUAUCCGGAAUUACUGGGCGUAAAGGGUGCGUAGGUGGUUUUUUAAGUCAGAAGUGAAAGGCUACGGCUCAACCGUAGUAAGCUUUUGAAACUAGAGAACUUGAGUGCAGGAGAGGAGAGUAGAAUUCCUAGUGUAGCGGUGAAAUGCGUAGAUAUUAGGAGGAAUACCAGUAGCGAAGGCGGCUCUCUGGACUGUAACUGACACUGAGGCACGAAAGCGUGGGGAGCAAACAGGAUUAGAUACCCUGGUAGUCCACGCCGUAAACGAUGAGUACUAGGUGUCGGGGGUUACCCCCCUCGGUGCCGCAGCUAACGCAUUAAGUACUCCGCCUGGGAAGUACGCUCGCAAGAGUGAAACUCAAAGGAAUUGACGGGGACCCGCACAAGUAGCGGAGCAUGUGGUUUAAUUCGAAGCAACGCGAAGAACCUUACCUAAGCUUGACAUCCCACUGACCUCUCCCUAAUCGGAGAUUUCCCUUCGGGGACAGUGGUGACAGGUGGUGCAUGGUUGUCGUCAGCUCGUGUCGUGAGAUGUUGGGUUAAGUCCCGCAACGAGCGCAACCCUUGCCUUUAGUUGCCAGCAUUAAGUUGGGCACUCUAGAGGGACUGCCGAGGAUAACUCGGAGGAAGGUGGGGAUGACGUCAAAUCAUCAUGCCCCUUAUGCUUAGGGCUACACACGUGCUACAAUGGGUGGUACAGAGGGUUGCUAAGCCGCGAGGUGGAGCUAAUCCCUUAAAGCCAUUCUCAGUUCGGAUUGUAGGCUGAAACUCGCCUACAUGAAGCUGGAGUUACUAGUAAUCGCAGAUCAGAAUGCUGCGGUGAAUGCGUUCCCGGGUCUUGUACACACCGCCCGUCACACCAUGGAAGUUGGGGGCGCCCGAAGCCGGUUAGCUAACCUUUUAGGAAGCGGCCGUCGAAGGUGAAACCAAUGACUGGGGUGAAGUCGUAACAAGGUAGCCGUAUCGGAAGGUGCGGCUGGAUCACCUCCUUUCUAAGGAGUAAUUGCCUACUGUUUAAUUUUGAGAGCUUAUUGUUCUCAAAAUUAGUACUUUGAAAACUGCAUAACAUUUAGUGAUGAUUAAAUAAACCAAUAUAAGAGAAGAAAACUCUUUAAAAAAUAACACUUUUAAUAACUGGUCAAGUUAUUAAGGGCGCAGGGCGGAUGCCUUGGCACUAAGAGCCGAUGAAGGACGCGAUAAGCUGCGAUAAGCUUCGGGGAGUUGCACGUAAACUUUGAUCCGAAGAUUUCCGAAUGAGGAAACUCACUUAGAGUAAUGUCUAAGUAUCAUUAAGUGAAUACAUAGCUUAGUGAGGGGAACCCGGGGAACUGAAACAUCUAAGUACCCGGAGGAAAAGAAAGAAAUUCGAUUCCGUAAGUAGCGGCGAGCGAACGCGGAAUAGCCCAAACCAGUGAAGUUUUCUUCGCUGGGGUUGCGGACACAUCAUCAACAAAGAGGUAUCGUAAACGAAGAGAGUUGGAAAGCUCCGCUAUAAAGUGUAAUAGCCACGUAGUUGAAACGAGAAGACUUUAGAUGUGAUCCAGAGUACCACGGGACACGUGAAACCCUGUGGGAAGCAGGAGGGACCAUCCUCCAAGGCUAAAUACUACUUAGUGACCGAUAGCGCAU